CGAAAGCCUGACGGAGCAAUACCGCGUGAGGGAGGAAGGCUUUUGGGUUGUAAACCUCUUUUUUCAAGGAAGAAGCAAGUGACGGUACUUGGAGAAUCAGCAUCGGCUAACUCCGUGCCAGCAGCCGCGGUAAUACGGAGGAUGCAAGCGUUAUCCGGAAUCAUUGGGCGUAAAGCGUCCGCAGGCGGCCUUUCAAGUCUGCUGUUAAAGACAGAAGCUCAACUUCUGGAGAGCGGUGGAAACUGGUAAGCUAGAGUACGGUAGGGGUUGAGGGAAUUCCCAGUGUAGCGGUGAAAUGCGUAGAUAUUGGGAAGAACACCAGUGGCGAAGGCGCUCAACUGGGCCGUAACUGACACUCAGGGACGAAAGCUAGGGUAGCG
rnacentral:rRNA from 1 species